ACAUGGAGGGUGAUCUGGUUGCAACAUCUGUCACCCUAUUUAUUAUCAUGGUUGAGUGGGCCGAUCUGGCUGGCUAGUCAGGUGCGCCCUUGCUCCCUCACAUUGCAAGUGCGCCCCCUCCCUAAUGUGCGUGCACUGGUUCAAGAGGAUGACGUUUCCACCAUCAGACAGACCAGGCAUCCGUCCCGAGUAUAGAAGUGGCUGUGCUCCCCUGCUAGGAUCUUUAAAGCAAGCUUGAGGGGCCUUUCUAUCUCAUAAAUGGAAAUUAUCACUCUACUAGUGAAAAGAAGUAAGAUAAAGCUUUUAAUAAAAUAAUUU
rnacentral:snRNA from 1 species